CGGACGGGUGAGUAAUGUCUGGGAAACUGCCCGAUGGAGGGGGAUAACUACUGGAAACGGUAGCUAAUACCGCAUAACGUCGCAAGACCAAAGAGGGGACCUUCGGGCCUCUUGCCAUCGGAUGUGCCCAGAUGGGAUUAGCUAGUAGGUGGGGUAACGGCUCACCUAGGCGACGAUCCCUAGCUGGUCUGAGAGGAUGAUCAGCCACACUGGGACUGAGACACGGCCCAG
rnacentral:rRNA from 1 species